rnacentral:misc_RNA from 1 species
GAUGAAGAACGUAGCGAAAUGCGAUAAGUAGUGUGAAUUGCAGAAUUCAGUGAAUCAUCGAAUCUUUGAACGCUCAUUGCGCCCCUUGGUAUUCCAUGGGGCAUGCCUGUUCGAGCGUCAUUUGUACCUUCAAGCUUUGCUUGGUGUUGGGUGUUUGUCUCGCCUCCGCGUGUAGACUCGCCUCAAAACAAUUGGCAGCCGGCGUAUUGAUUUCGGAGCGCAGUACAUCUCGCGCUUUGCACUCACAACGACGACGUCCAAAAGUACAUUUUUACACUCUUGACCUCGGAUCAGGUAGGGAUACCCGCUGAACUUAAGCAUAUCAAUAAGCGGAGGA